UAGGGAAUCUUCCACAAUGGACGAAAGUCUGAUGGAGCAACGCCGCGUGAGUGAAGAAGGUUUUCGGAUCGUAAAGCUCUGUUGUUGGUGAAGAGGGAUAGAGGCAGUAACUGGUCUUUAUUUGACGGUAAUCAACCAGAAAGUCACGGCUAACUACGUGCCAG
rnacentral:rRNA from 1 species